rnacentral:rRNA from 1 species
AUUGAACGCUGGCGGCAGGCCUAACACAUGCAAGUCGAACGAGUGGCGUACGGGUGAGUAAUGUCUGGGAAACUGCCCGAUGGAGGGGGAUAACUACUGGAAACGGUAGCUAAUACCGCAUACCAUCGUAUGUGCCCAGAUGGGAUUAGCGCGUAGGUGGGGUAACGGCUCACCUAGGCGACGCUCCCUAGCUGGUCUGAGAGGAUGACCAGACACACGUGAACUGAGACACGGGCCAGCCUCCUACGGGAGGAAGCAGUGGGGAAUAGUGCACAAGGGGGGCUAGCCUGAUGCCGCCAUGCCGCGUGUAUGCAAGAGGCCUUCGGGUUGUAAAGUCCUUUCAGCGAGGAGGCGUUACUCGAAGAAGAAGCACCGGCUAACUCCGUGCCAGCCGCCGAGGUAAUUC